rnacentral:rRNA from 1 species
UACAGAGGGGGCAAGCGUUGUUCGGAAUUACUGGGCGUAAAGGGCGCGUAGGCGGCCCGCUAAGUCGAACGUGAAAUCCCCAGGCUCAACCUGGGAACUGCGUCCGAUACUGGCAGGCUUGAAUCCGGGAGAGGGAUGUGGAAUUCCAGGUGUAGCGGUGAAAUGCGUAGAUAUCUGGAGGAAUACCGAUGGCGAAGGCAGCCCCCUGGGACAUGACUGACGCUCAUGCACGAAAGCGU